GAGUUUCGUCCGACAAUUAUAAACCUUUCUUGUCUUGGGCAUGAGGAAUAAAAUUUUGUCGUUCAAUUCGUCUAUUUUGGUUAUUCGCGUCGAAAUAAAAGAACAACUGUCCAUUUAUUGCUCAGAAUACCAGUAUAAACAGAGUUCAGAAAGCUUUUCUAUAAUCAGAAGGACUGAACAAACUCUUGAAUUGUUGAAUAAUAGUAAGCAAAAAGACGUCUUUACUUGUCUAGGAUGCAAGAUUGUACAUGAUGACGCCUGUGGUAUAUAUCUGCCUUACCUGGUUGUAGAGAGUGACUUUUGUUGUUAUUUUUUCUCCUGUGACUUGAAUUUUAAAUGGUGCUUAAGGCAUAACUUUGCAAUACCAAAAAUUUUGGGAGAGGAAAUUAAAAUUUCAAAUGUACCAUUCACCAUUGAAAAUGGACCACAAAUGGUUUGGAUCGUUGAACAGCAGAUAUUUUUCUUUAAAACAGAGAAGUAUUAUUCACUGAAUUUUGAAUCAUCAGCUGAAAAUAUUUCAAAGUUUUCAAUCGACUUGUGUUACAAACAUGAAACCUCUUCAACCUCUGAAAUAUUAUGGUGGGACACUAACUGUGCUCGAAAUGGAAUGAUUGUCAUGAAAAAUCAGAAAGGGACUAUGUUGGAUUAUUUUUAACAGUUGAUAAUGAGGGACAGGCUUGGGUAUCCAGGAAUGAUAAACUAAUCCCAUAUCUCUAUGUUUCUAUUAUCACUUGUGUUGCAAUUAUAAGUUUUGAUCAAGUAAAUCUUCCAAAUUGUUCUUUUAAAGUACUUGUUGCUACCACACACAAGCAAAUAGUAGAAUUUAUUGAUGGAAAGUACAGUAAACAUGUAGCAAUUCCAUUCUCAUGCUGUCAAAGUAUACAAACUUUUGAGAACUCUCAGGGAAAACUUUUUCUGUUUUGCCAUGAAGAAGAUGAGAUUUGUGUGAUUGAUUGGUUAAAUUCUGAAGUUUUUACAACAUACCAAGGAUUACCCUCAAUGUUGAUUGAUGACUUUGUAUGUAAAGGAACUUCUCAAGUUCUUCUAUUCAAUGAUUUUAUAAAAGACAGUCAAGAGCAAUUAGAUGAUUAUGUUUUAACUGACUGUCACACAAUUCAAAUAAAAGGAUCUAAAUAUUUUGAGGUUUG